GACGAACGCUGGCGGCGUGCUUAACACAUGCAAGUCGAACGGAAAGGCCCUGCUUUUGUGGGGUGCUCGAGUGGCGAACGGGUGAGUAACACGUGAGUAACCUGCCCUUGACUUUGGGAUAACUUCAGGAAACUGGGGCUAAUACCGGAUAGGAGCUCCUGCUGCAUGGUGGGGGUUGGAAAGUUUCGGCGGUUGGGGAUGGACUCGCGGCUUAUCAGCUUGUUGGUGGGGUAGUGGCUUACCAAGGCUUUGACGGGUAGCCGGCCUGAGAGGGUGACCGGCGACAUUGGGACUGAGAUACGGCCCAGACUCCUACGGGAGGCAGCAGUGGGGAAUAUUGCACAAUGGGCGGAAGCCUGAUGCAGCAACGCCGCGUGCGGGAUGACGGCCUUCGGGUUGUAAACCGCGUUCGCCUGUGACGAAGCGUGAGUGACGGUAAUGGGUAAAGAAGCACCGGCUAACUACGUG
rnacentral:rRNA from 1 species